rnacentral:lncRNA from 1 species
UAAUAGUUUUAUGGACUAGAAAAUCACUACAACAGCAAGUGUUUGGCACAUUGUGGCCUAAGAUUCCGCUGUGCCAAAGCAAGGCAAUUAUUAUUACAAACUUUAUCUUCCGUGAAAAUGAGGACGUGCAGGCAACAUAAAAGCUCGCACUAUCUCUGAAAACUUUUCAAGGUUGUGCACGCGAAAGAGUAAUAACAAAUUAUUUGCGUUUAUACGCGUACAUGUAACAGAAUCACGCAUUUAUGGGAACUUUGAACCUUCCCAAGUAAAA